rnacentral:rRNA from 1 species
AGAGUUUGAUCCUGGCUCAGGAUGAACGCUAGCUACAGGCUUAACACAUGCAAGUCGAGGGGCAGCAUGGUCUUAGCUUGCUAAGGCCGAUGGCGACCGGCGCACGGGUGAGUAACACGUAUCCAACCUGCCGUCUACUCUUGGACAGCCUUCUGAAAGGAAGAUUAAUACAAGAUGGCAUCAUGAGUCCACAUGUUCACAUGAUUAAAGGUAUUCCGGUAGACGAUGGGGAUGCGUUCCAUUAGAUAGUAGGCGGGGUAACGGCCCACCUAGUCUUCGAUGGAUAGGGGUUCUGAGAGGAAGGUCCCCCACAUUGGAACUGAGACACGGUCCAAACUCCUACGGGAGGCAGCAGUGAGGAAUAUUGGUCAAUGGGCGAGAGCCUGAACCAGCCAAGUAGCGUGAAGGAUGACUGCCCUAUGGGUUGUAAACUUCUUUUAUACGGGAAUAAAGUGAGCCACGUGUGGCUUUUUGUAUGUACCGUAUGAAUAAGGAUCGGCUAACUCCGUGCCAGCAGCCGCGGUAAUACGGAGGAUCCGAGCGUUAUCCGGAUUUAUUGGGUUUAAAGGGAGCGUAGAUGGAUGUUUAAGUCAGUUGUGAAAGUUUGCGGCUCAACCGUAAAAUUGCAGUUGAUACUGGAUAUCUUGAGUGCAGUUGAGGCAGGCGGAAUUCGUGGUGUAGCGGUGAAAUGCUUAGAUAUCACGAAGAACUCCGAUUGCGAAGGCAGCCUGCUAAGCUGCAACUGACAUUGAGGCUCGAAAGUGUGGGUAUCAAACAGGAUUAGAUACCCUGGUAGUCCACACAGUAAACGAUGAAUACUCGCUGUUGGCGAUAUACAGUCAGCGGCCAAGCGAAAGCAUUAAGUAUUCCACCUGGGGAGUACGCCGGCAACGGUGAAACUCAAAGGAAUUGACGGGGGCCCGCACAAGCGGAGGAACAUGUGGUUUAAUUCGAUGAUACGCGAGGAACCUUACCCGGGCUUAAAUUGCAACUGACGGAAUCGGAAACGGUUCUUUCUUCGGACAGUUGUGAAGGUGCUGCAUGGUUGUCGUCAGCUCGUGCCGUGAGGUGUCGGCUUAAGUGCCAUAACGAGCGCAACCCUUACGGGUAGUUACCAACAGGUUAUGCUGGGGACUCUACCCGGACUGCCGUCGUAAGAUGUGAGGAAGGUGGGGAUGACGUCAAAUCAGCACGGCCCUUACGUCCGGGGCUACACACGUGUUACAAUGGGGGGUACAGAGGGCCGCUACCACGCGAGUGGAUGCCAAUCCCAAAAACCUCUCUCAGUUCGGACUGGAGUCUGCAACCCGACUCCACGAAGCUGGAUUCGCUAGUAAUCGCGCAUCAGCCACGGCGCGGUGAAUACGUUCCCGGGCCUUGUACACACCGCCCGUCAAGCCAUGAAAGCCGGGGGUACCUGAAGUACGUAACCGCGAGGAGCGUCCUAGGGUAAAACUGGUGAUUGGGGCUAAGUCGUAACAAGGUAGCCGUACCGGAAGGUGCGGCUG